AGCAGCCGCGGUAAUUCCAGCUCCAAUAGCGUAUAUUAAAGUUGUUGCAGUUAAAAAGCUCGUAGUUGAAUUUCGGGAUUGGCGCAUCGGUCGUGCCUUACGGGGUAUGAACUGGUGCAGUCAAUUUCUCACCUUCUGGAGAACCGCGAUGUCCUUAAUUGGGUGCCGCGGGGAACCAGGACCUUUACUUUGAAAAAAUUAGAGUGUUUAAAGCAGGCAUUUUUGCUUGAAUACAUUAGCAUGGAAUAAUAAAAUAGGACGGCAUGGUUCUAUUUUGUUGGUUUCUAGGACCACCGUAAUGAUUAAUAGGGAUAGUUGGGGGCAUUAGUAUUCAAUUGUCAGAGGUGAAAUUCUUGGAUUUAUUGAAGACUAACUACUGCGAAAGCAUUUGCCAAGGAUGUUUUCAUUAAUCAAGAACGGAAGUUAGGGGAUCGAAGACGAUCAGAUACC
rnacentral:rRNA from 1 species